rnacentral:lncRNA from 1 species
ACAAAAACAAUUUAAAACUGCGUAAUGGUCCAAACCACCAUGGAUGGUGUUCUGACGAUGAUACACGGGGUGAGGUCUGACUCAUGAGCCGCUGUCCGUGAUGACUUGACAUUCUCAAAAGGAAAUCCCGAAUGUUCUCACUGCAUGCUGCUGCAGGCCCUCAUGGCAGGGCAUCCACACCACUGGCUCAGGUGCUGGUUGCUCCAGAAUCUCUCUUCAGCUGGCCUUUUUCUACUGAACUGUCUGUGAGAACAUCACUGCAGGCACGGUUUUCUCCAACCAUAAUUGCUGCUGCCAAAGCCACCUCGGACUUGGGAAAGGGAAACAACACUCCACUAGAGAGCGUAGAAUCUUAGAAUUCAUCUACUUCAUUCUCCUCCUGGUACUCUACUUUCUUCUACAACGUCCCAGCCGAGCUGAGGUCUGAGCUGUGCUGCUCAAGGCUGUCCCAUGUGAAUACA